rnacentral:rRNA from 1 species
GACGAACGCUGGCGGCGUGCUUAACACAUGCAAGUCGAACGGAAAGGCCCUGCUCUUGUGGGGUUCUCGAGUGGCGAACGGGUGAGUAACACGUGUGUAACCUGCCCUUGUCUUUGGGAUAACAUUAGGAAACUGGGGCUAUUACCGGAUAGGAGCUCUUGCAGCGUGUUGGGGAUUGGAAAGUGUCGGCUGUUGGGGAUGGACUCGCGGCUUAUCAGCUUGUUGGUGGGGUAGUGGAAUACCAAGGCUGUGACGGGUAGCCGGCCUGGGAGGGUGGACGGGCACAAUGGGACUGAGAGACGGACCAGACGCGUACGGGAGGCAAUGGUGGGGAACAUGGCACAAUGGGGGGACGCCUGAUGCAGCGACGCCGCGUGCGGGAUGACGGCUUUCGGGGUGUAAACCGCUUUCGCCUGUGACGAAGCGUGAGUGACGGUAAUGGGUAAAGAAGCACCGGCUAACUACGUG